rnacentral:lncRNA from 1 species
UCUAUCAGGAUUUUUGGAAGAGUGAUCGGGCAGAGACUGAUUGUCAUUAGCUGUGCAGCAUCUGAUGUGUGGUUAACCUGCAGCCCGCGGUGCUGGGUGUGAAAUCUGUGGUUCGUCUAUUUCAGAUAAAGCUCAAGGAAAGCUGACCUAACUCCCACUGAGAUCAUUUCAAGCCUCCAUUUGAGUACACCUGGACGUAAAGAAGGAGGACCUGGCCUCUACAAUGGGGAGUCCCAGAAGGGGCUAUGAUAAACACAAACAAGAAAACAAGAGGUCAAGUUUGGGUCUAUCUGCAGCAGCUGCCUACACGUCUGCAUGGUCUGGCUCUGAUCCUCUGUGCAUGGAGGGGAGGAGCAGGCAUUCCCCUCAAGUAAUACAACAGUCAGAGAGACUGUAAAGGUGGCUGUUAGAGACUUUGUCACAAAAAGGUUUUCCCCGAUUGAGCCAGCAGAAAAUGAUCAUUCAUAAAGUCUGGCAGAUAUGAAGAAACUCUU